rnacentral:rRNA from 1 species
AUUGAACGCUGGCGGCAGGCCUAACACAUGCAAGUCGAACGAGUGGCGGACGGGUGAGUAAUGUCUGGGCACCUGCCUGAUGGAGGGGGCUAACUACUGGAAACGGUAGCUAAUACCGCAUACGAUCCGAUCUGCCCAGAUGGGAUUAGCUAGUAGGUGGGGUAAUGGCGCAUCUAGACGACGCUCCCUAGCUGGUCUGAGAGGAUGACCAGCCACACUGGAACGGAGACACGGUCCAGACUCCUACGGGAGGCAGCAGUGGGGAAUAUUGCGCAAUGGGCGCAAGCCUGAUGCAGCCAUGCCGCGUGUGUGAAGAAGGCCUUCGGGUUGUAAAGCACUGUCAGCGAGGAGGCGUUACCCGCAGAAGAAGCACCGGCUAACUCCGUGCCAGCCGCCGCGGUAAUUC